GGCUGUGUCUGUUCUGCAGGCACUUUGGUAGAGCAUGAGACUCUUAACUUCAGGGUCGUGGGUUCAAGCCCCAUAUUGGUCA